AUGAACCCCUUGUCCGCCCCAGGCCCGGAUGGUCUCUCGGUUAAGUUCUUCCAGACCUUCUGGCCGGUCAUUAAACCGGAGUUGGUCGCCAUAUUUCAGGAAUUCUACAUUGGGGCGAUUGACUUGGCCCGACUGAACUAUGGGAUCAUCACUCUCAUCCCUAAGGUGGCCGGGGCCUCAGGCAUCCGUCAGUUCCGCCUUAUUACGGUGACCAAUUUGAUCUUCUGUAUUCCGGCGAAGGGGUACGCUAAUAGGGUGACCCUGCUAGGUGACAAAAUCACCCACAGGAAUCAAUCGGCUUUCAUAAAGGGUCGAUACAUCCUGGAUGGGGUUUUAGUGUUCCAUGAAGUCCUUCAUGAGGUCCGCGUCCGGCGUCAGCAUGCGGUCUUCCUGAAGAUUGAUUUCCAUAAGGCCUACGACAUGGUCCACUGGCCCUUCCUGCUGGAAGUUCUCCUGCGCAAAGGGUUUAACAACAGAUGGGUCACACGUGUGAUGCAGAUGGUGUCCUGCUGCCGCACCGCGGUGAACAUUAACAGCGAGAUUGGUCCCUUCUUUCCCACCCUUUGUGGGGUAAGACAUGAUACGUCUCUAACGCAUCUAUAA
rnacentral:rRNA from 1 species